AUUCAGUUGAUGAAUUCCAAAUAGGAUGAAACGCUCGUCCUGGAU
rnacentral:hammerhead_ribozyme from 1 species